GCUGAGUAUAGUGGCAUAUGCUUAUAAUCCCAGCUACUCUGAAGGCUGAGAUAGGAAGUUUACUGAGCCCAGGAGAUUGAGACCAGCCUGGGUAACAUAGCAAGGCCUUUUCUCAA
rnacentral:sRNA from 1 species